CUUUCUCAGUUUAAAACUGCCCCCCACCAAUCUUAUCACUAUUCUCCUGUUUAUGUGCUCCCUUCGAGUCCUGGGGAGCCCUCAGCACUUUGAGGUCCUUCUGAUGCAUCAUUUUGCUCUCUCUGCUGCUGUUACCUCACUCCAGCCCUCAGCUAGAAGAAAUAAUGUGAUUUCCUAAAACGUGGGAAUUAGCAAGUCAAGCCCAGAGAAUUAAAACUGCCCGGAGGCUCAGCUGCCCUGAAAGAAUCCAGUAAAACUCCAUCUCAAGCUAGCAAGAAGCGGAACACGGCAUCUAUUUUUGUUAUGACAUCCUUGAGGUCAGCCCAGCAACAGGGAGGGGAAGAAAUUAAAAGACCCAAACAUUUGCAAGACUGCUCGAUGUUUUAAGGACCUGUAAGGAGGCUGAGGAAUAAGACGUCUGACACAGAGAACUGUGGCUGAAACCUUCCUAAGACUGCUGCCAUUGUGCAAACCAAGUGCACACCAGUAGGAGAGCAGUGCCACAACCGAGCAAUGGCACAAAGCAUCACAGGAGGGGGAGAGAUGGGUUCAGCACUGCGGAGAGCUCCCUCAUCCCACCGCCACGUGUGCGCCAUGGAGUGAGUUUGUUCAGCGUAAAUCCUCUUCUUUAGACUCAUUAAAGUGCGCCAAGC
rnacentral:lncRNA from 1 species